ensembl:lncRNA
AGAAAUCGAAUAAAGCAGUUUUUGAAUCCUCAGCCUUGUCAAAAUCAUAAAAUAACGUCUAAAACAAAGGUUUCUAAUGUUAAAGUCUGGCAAUUUGUCACUUUCACCAUGAUUAAUAAACCCGCGUAUGCUCUUGUUCAAAUUCUGAAUCAUAAGUUGAACAGAAUGCAGCAACAUCACAGGAUUCUUAUCAAUUUGGCAGUUUCUGUGCCCUCAGCCUUUCUUCAUUUUACAGUGAUUUACCCUAGGAACAUCUGUCAAAUGAUGAACAGCGCAAUGCCAGAAGAACACUUUUGGAAUGGAAAUGUAAUAGUAUCAUUUGAAUAGAUGUACAGUCAAUUGCCAGUUUCUUUGCCUUUGGGGAGACAAUAUAGAUGCAUGAGGUCUGUAAAAAGCACUGUAAUUUCAAAGCCUCAUAUUAAUAAAUCGAUUCAUCAUCACCAACAUCUUGUUAAAAAAACAAAAACUUCAACUAGCAGAUUAACUUCUAUAUUUUGCACAAAGCAAUAACCAGAAAAUGCCUUAGCCUCUAGAAUUUCCCAGGUAUCCAAGAGAAUCGGUUCUGGUUCCUGUCCUUCCAUUCCAUUCUUUUGAAAAACCGUUAGAGCAGUUCACACAUUAGACAAUGGAGGAAUCUGAACCAAUCAAGCAAAUGUUGCCACGAUCAAGGAAGCCAAGAGAAGAAGAAGGCAAAAGCUAAGUCUCCUCGUUCCUCAAAACUUGUCAAAACAAAAUUCUGAGAAAGUGAUGUAGGCUUGUCUGUGAGCCUGGAUAGAUGCUAAGGGGAGAGCUCAGAUGUGUCAUUCUCUGGAAAGAGUAUGGGGAAGGAAGUGCUGAAGCCAUGACCUGAGUGUGGGAAUUAGGAGAGGGGGCAUGAGAUUUUCUGUGCACUUUCCUCUUACACACAUGCGCAUACACACACACACACCUUCCCCAAUCCCACAUCCAAGGUUGGACGUGUGGAAGGAACAAAGUCCCAGCAUGAGAGCCAUUCUCAUAGGACAACCUGCCAUAAUCUUGCGCCCUCCUUUCCACCCCAUAAGCCAAAUAUCACUGAGGCUUGACUUAACUGGCUGCCCAUCAACAGGCUAUCCUAGCUGUACCCAUCACAUGCCUGGGAGGGAGAAAACUCCAUCAUGGGGAAGGAGUGCAAGGAGACUUGGAGAGAGAGGAGAGGGGAGUCUGGCUUCCUCCCAUCUCCAUCAAAUGAGUGAGGAUUAUGGAGCCUCUUCUAACAUACCCGAGAUAUAAUGAAAUCAUAAAAAGGCACACUCUUGGCAGAACAAAAUAAAGUGCCAUGUCUGUUUUCUGGUUGUGGGUGAAGAGCUGACCCAACAAUGGCCAAAAAAGGAAGGUUUGGGGAGGCGAGCCUGUGGGUGCACAUCGCUUCCGGGGGGAGCGUCUUUUCCUUUGCUCUCAUUCUCUGUAGCUGAUGAGAAAGCGUGGGAUGACAGCAAGCUUCUCCCUCAGACCCAGCAUCCACCUAGAGUCUUCACAGGAAGAAAUGGAGGCAAAUUCACUACCUUUUUCCUGCUGGGGCCUUGUGAGCGUCAGAGAAGACUAGGGAAGGGAUGAGAAGGGAGAAAUUCGGUGCACGGGCUCUUCAUCCUACAGUGCUGCCUUUUCACAAACAUGACUUCAGAGAGGAGGCAGGGCUGGGAGCCAAGUGUAGACCCAGCCCAGGGGAGGGGAGCCCUCAUGACAAGACUAUUUUACAUGGUAAAGGUUUAACUUUGUAGGGAUCGGGAAAAAGAGGAUGCAGCAAAACAGAUCCAGAACUAACCAGAGAGGGGCACACCUGACACUCUCUUCUUGCAACCUAGCAUGAAAUUAUCCCUCCUUCUCUAGGAUGUGAAGGCUGUGAGCGUGUGUGUGUGAACUGCACAACAGCCGUGGCCAAACACAAAUGUUCAAGCCUGCUGAAAUAAAUCAAUGUUUUGGCCUCCCCCGGCGACCACAGGAACAAAUGUGAUCUGAAAAAUAUUAUUAAAACUCAUAGCCCCAGGAAGUUGUCGGUUUGUGUGGCAAAAGUAAUUACAGAACUAAUUCCAUUGUGUCAUUGAAAAUGCCUUCAGCUUGAUAACCCACAGACAUGACGAGAACUGCUCCCUGUGAAAAGAAAAGCAAAUUUCCUGCUUUCUUUAAGUUGCUUUGGUCAGAAUUCUCCCUUCCUUUGUUAAAUCACAGGAUUUUGCCCACGAUGGUCAAUAUAAUAAAGGAGAUAAAUAGUCUGUGCCGUAGUUACCUUCAAGAUCGAUGUGAAAUGGGCACACAGACUAAUGGGGUCAAAUAAACAGAUACUGAUGGUCAGAGAAUACCUCAGACCCAUGGGUCCCAAACCACCUGAGCACCAAAUCACCUAGGAGGUUUGUAAAACUACAUAUAUCCACCUCCACUCCCAGAUGUCCUGAUUCAACUCAUCUGCCUAAAACCAAGGCAUUCAUAUUUACUUAAUCUGAUAAGUUCAUUCAUUCAACAUUCAUUCAUGGGUCAAAAUUGUCAGCAUAUAGCAGUGAAUAAAACAAAAAUGGUAAUCUCAACCAUUAUGGAAUUUACAUCUAUUGAGGGAGACACUCAAGAAAUAAGAUAAAUAAGUAAAAUAUAUAGCAUGUUAAGAAGAAAUAAGUGAUGAGAAAAAUUAAACAGAAGGGAACAGGAGUUGAGGAGGGGAUAAAAUUUUAAAUAGGGCAGCUGGGAAGGUGAUGUUUUAGCAAAGAGGUUUACUUACUAAAGAAAUUAGAAAGGAAGCUGAGGAGAAAGUGUCACAGGUAGGUGAAACAGCUUGUGGAAAAGUCCUGGGGUAAGAAUGUGGCUAACUG